CUACAUCUCCCAGUGAGCAAUGAGCUGAGCAAGUGGCGAUUGAAUAUGACGUUACGUUUUGUUCUAUAAAGGCCCUCCCCUUUCUUCGUCACGUCCUCUUUCAAUUUGGUGUCUUCGCUGUAGAGACACAUCUCCACAAGAUGAGAGCAAAGGUGAGUUGAUAAAUAUCUAACUUCAUAUUAGCGGGCUUUUGUUUGGCUCAUUGUCAUUAAGCAGUGGCUAGCUACCUAACGCUAUACACACAUUUCUCUGACGACAACGUGCCUAAAUAGUUGGCUUCCUAUAUUAUGGAAACAUUGGCUGUAUUCAAUAUUACAUUAAAGGUUAAACGCUUAAUUGGCACGAGUUUUGCAUUUUGAAUGUUGGAUAUACAAUUUACUUCACCCAUGGCGUUUUUAGCUAACGUUUGCUAGCUUGACCACGUUGGCGAACUAGGUUUCACGGCCCAAUGGCGCACAAGUGGAGGAAGAAGCGUAUGCGCAGGCUGAAGCGUAAAAGGCGAAAGAUGAGGCAGAGGUCCAAGUAGACUGGCCCAUUCCCCUACUGCUGUGAUUGUUUUUCCCCACCCACUCCAAGCCCCCUGUUUGAAGCCAGCGGUCCAUGAUUUGCAAAGAGCUGAACCAUGGUUGUCUGAAGCCGGUCUCAUUGGUGUGAAGGACGGAUCCCGCAUACCCAGCCCUCUACUCUGCCAAUGGCACCUGGCUGUUGACUACUGCUAGAAUCUCUCCUGUUGUUGGACUCUGGCCUUUUACCACCUGCACAGCUGAUUUGUUGUGAAGACCAUAAUAAAUAUUUGGUUUACUAACUACAUUACUGUCUCUGUAAACAUUGAUUGAUGUUCAUAUCAAAGUUUAUUGGUCACACAUUUAGCAGAUGUUACUGCAGGUUUAGUGAAAUUCAUG
rnacentral:lncRNA from 1 species